rnacentral:tRNA from 2 species
GGCGGGGUAGCUCAGUUGGUUAGAGCGGAUGCUUCAUACGCAUUAGGUCGGGGGUUCGAAUCCCUCCCCCGCUACCA